UACGUAGGCAGCAAGCGUUGUUCGGAAUUACUGGGCGUAAAGCGUGCGCAGGCGGUUCUAUAAGACAGAUGUGAAAUCCCCGGGCUCAACCUGGGAACUGCAUUUGUGACUGUAGAGCUGGAGUACGGUAGAGGGGGAUGGAAUUCCGCGUGUAGCAGUGAAAUGCGUAGAUAUGCGGAGGAACACCGAUGGCGAAGGCAAUCCCCUGGACCUGUACUGACGCUCAUGCACGAAAGCGUGGGGAGCAAACAGG
rnacentral:rRNA from 1 species